CACAUUGCCUACCUGAAUUAAUUGUUGAUGUUAGUAUAUGUGAGGGUUCUCUUUUGUAAUUAUCAAUAGUUAGAGGUAGUUUAUAUAUUUAGUCCUAAAUAGUUAGGUUAUUUCCAAUUGUAUUGUAUUUUUGCUGUACACACUUUUCUUAUCAACAAAUGAGUCAACAACCUCCAAUCUUCAUCUUCUUGAUCGAUUGAUCCUUAUACAUGUUAACUAAUAUGGUAUCAGAGAUUUAGGAUUCGUCAUUAGCUCCAUAUUUUUAAUCAAUCAUCCACAAAAGACAUCCCCAAUUGAAUCUCCUUCACAUAGAUUUCCGACAUUCCUGCAUCUCUUCUUCCCCAAACAUAAAAUCGAAACCAUUGGCAAACUACAUUUGUUCCUGCUCAUCCCUCGAUCAACAUAACCGCUAUAUCAAAAUCGGCUUCUCAAAAAUCCAUAUUUCAACACAGAUUAUCCAUUACUUUCGGGCGUCUCAAAUUUCGAAUAAAUAUUACAACAAGAUUGUCUACUUUUCUUUUCAACAAUCAAUGCAUUCUUUGGCAAAAUGCAUCAUGCAUCUCAUGCAACAAUGACAUGCUCGGGUGGAAAAGGAAGCGGAACUAGCGAUUGGAAGCUUGGAUCUUGGAUUUUGAAGAAAGAAGGAUGUUGUUGGACAACUUGACCCCUCGUCAGUGUUUUGGUCAUAUCUCAUGAACCGUAACUCCGAUUGACAGGAUGAAAAAUGUUCUGAAAACUAGACACAAUUUCGGACGAUUUUCGUGUUUUGAGAAAAUGCUGAUUCCAAACGGACUCGACGAUUAGGCCAUAAACUCGACAAGUCACGUCGAACUUUCGCGAUUCUGGACGCGCUAACUUGCCGUACACGGGUUUUAAGUGACGGACUCGCCGAUUAGGUCACUGGACUCGACGAGUCACCUCUGUUUUGUGAAAAUCUAAAUAAAGGGCAUUCUUGCCUGAUACCCUAGCAUAUAGAUGAACCCUUGGAGGCCAAUUGUCGACUAAAGGUGUUGUUGGAGUGUGGGAAGCUAAGGAAUCAACCCUACAUUCAAUUUUAAGGAGAAUCAAGGCAAAAUAAAGUUUAUUCUUUACCUAAUCUCUUGUUUGAACUAUGUUUUUACCAAUUGAUUUCGUUUUUGAGCUUGUUUCUGCUGUAAUCAUGAGUUAAAACUCAUACCUUCUAUUUAGGAUAGAUGAUUUUGUGAUUAUGGUUUGAUUAUGUGGUUGGAUUAAUUUAAUUUGGUGAACUUUGUUUUAUUAAGCUUGUUAAAAACCCUUAUGCAUUAA